GUUUUGAAAAUGCCACGUGACUACCGUCCUCCUCCCUCCCGGAUCAGUCCGCAUGUUCAUGGCGCCAGCAUUUGUUAUGGAAUAUAUUGAGCAAACCUGGAGAUAUUAUUGUUGUCAUUGCUGUGGAUCUUUACUGACUUGGCUCGGGACCAGCACUCCUGUUGUUGGACAGAAAGACAUCAACUCAGUGACUUGAGAUAUGACUGCACUAUGCUGUUGCUGUGACUCCAGUUAAUUCUACAAGACAUGCUGUGACACCAGGAGAGAUGAGUCCUCCGUCACAGAUGGUGUGGUCAGUGAAGAUGGUCGCCUGCAAGUUCAAGCUCAUUGCAUCUCCAACCCACAUCCACUGCCACUGUACUUAAGGGAAGUUAAAGACUUUCUU